CCUGUUGGUCUUUUAAAUGUUGUAACAAGGCUCCAGAGUUUUGAGAACCUGGAAGUCUAACAGACAUGCUCUGAACCUUGUUGGUCUUCUAUGAAUGUAUUGUAAAGACUGGGGAGCUCAAAACGACGUACAUGAUUCUUCCCCACCUCCAUCUAAUCCACAAAUCCCUGUAAAUAGAUGAGACCGUGACUGACUGACUGACUCAAGUUCACCUCCCAAGCUUCAAGGUCGACUGGGGCUUUGAGUCAAGAUUCCAAUGUCUGAAGUCCCACGCACAAAAUACUACACCACACUGGCUCUUUAUGGCCCCCCUCCCACGUUGCAACACCCUUUUAAAGAAACGGCAGUGAAAUUGUCUGGCGUACGAUAACAAAUUUCAAGAUUACAGUGUCCAAAGGCAAACGCUUGUCCUAUUUCCCCUCGCCCCCCUGUACUCUGAAGCAAUGAAGCUACUGGGAGACAACGACCGGGCUGCGGAAGCACUUCCUUCCCUGCCUUCCCCAAAUCCAGACUCUGCUGGUAAUUUGUUUUCGUAAUUUAAAUUUGUACAAUUAUAGCAACAAAAGAGUUAGAUUUCUUAGGCAGCAAAGGGAAAUGUCUUCUGUGUAAUAAACGUAGCCAAAGAUGGA